AUCCUCGAGAGGACGGAGACGUGAGAAAAGAAGGAGCCCCCCAUUGAAGCCACGCUUCCUCUGGGCGGACCCCGGGGGAGGACGGAGGCGGGGAAAGGGAAAAAGGGGAACGCAGCUCAGCCUAGCGGGUGGAGCCGCAGAAACCACCCCGAGCUAGCCGCUAGAAUCCUGGCUGGCACUCGGAAGACAGCGCUGGACAGGAUCUCACUGUAUAGCUAUGGCUGGCCUAGAACUCACUAUACAGCCACACUGGCCUCAAAUUCACAGAGCUCUACCUGCUUCUGCCUCCCAGUUGCUGGUACUAAAGGUCAUUCCCUGAGCUCCAGAUUCUUCUACUAGAUCAAGCAUAGCAUCAUUCAGCUCCCUCAACCUGUCAACAGCAAUGGGACAUGGGCUGGAGACCGGACUCCCUGCAUAUUGCCUGCCAUAGCAGCCGAAGAGUUCUCCUCGGAGAACUCCACUUAAGUGACGUGGGGAUUCUUGACUUUGCUGCAGAAAAGAAUUUCAGGAUAGGCCGGAAUGAAGCAGAGUUGAAGUUUAUUAGGAAGAAAGUUUAACACAGCCUUAAGCAUGAGGUUUAUUAGAGAGAUGUUCAAGGAAUGGAUAAGACACAUGGAGGUGCCGGCAUGGCCUUCUCAGGAGAGAGUCCUGCUUCUGUGUCUUGGCAGUAACCAAUUAUAGGAUUUGGUGGCUCUUAAGUUGUAUCUCUAAGAGUUCCUAAGAAAUUUCUUCUCUCUCUCUCUCUCUCUCUCUCUCUCUCUCUCUCUCUCUCUCUCUCUCUCUCUCUCUGUUUUGAUGAAUCAGUGGGUGAGAGUCUUCAACUACACUCCAGGAUAAAGGGCCCCUUCCUUUUUAUGUCCCUUUACUUUUUUCCUUAUCUUUCUUUCCUGCUUCAAACCCACUUCCAUCUCUGCUGCUAUUAUCUGAGCACAUCAAGAUGCCUAAAUGACAUUAACCUGUGAGGGAGCACAAUGGAAUAGCAGAAACAAGGUUAUCCCAGAAAACAAUCAUCUUUGUUGUUGUUUGUUUUAUGUUUGGGAUUAUGUCUGUGCAUGUUCAUGUGUGUGUGUGUGUGUGUGUGUGUGUGUGUGUGUGUGUGUGUGUAUGCAUACGUGCAUAUGUGUGCACAUGUGUGCAUAUGCCUGUGGAAUGCAGAGGUCAGCCUCAGGUGUCAUUUUCUAUUGCUCUCCACCUUAUUUUUUGAGACAUGGUCUCACACCAAACUUGGAGCUCACCAAUAUGGCUAGACUAGCUGGCUAGCAAACCCAAUAAUCCUCCUAUCUCUGAUCCCCAGAGCUGGAAUUAACAGGCCACUUAGCUAUAAACAUUUUUUAUGUGGGUUUUGGGGACCUGAACUCAGAUCCUCAUGCUUAUAUGGCUCACACUUUGCCAACUGAGACAUCUCCUCAGGCCAAAUUACCAGCUUGGGGGUUUUAUUAUUAUUCUUAUGCUUGGGGGUAUAUUAUGAUGAUGAUGAUGAUGAUGCUUGGGGUAUUAUUAUUAUUAUUGUGAUGAUGCUUGGGGUGUUAUUAUUACUAUACUUUGUUUGUUUAUUUGUUGUAGUAUGUGUGCCCUUGGGGAGAGGGUCCAGAGGGUGGUUGUAGGGGUGUACAGGAAGGGUACCGUGGCACAUCUGUGGAAGUAAACGGACAACGUACAGGGACUGCUUCUUCUAGUGUAGGAGUUCCAAAGAUCAAACUCAGGUCACCAGACUUGGCAGCAAGUGCCCUUACCCACUCACCAGCUCCAUCACUGCUUUACAAAGUGGGUUUUCUCUUCCUCAAAGUGGAUUCUUUAUGCUUCCACACGAUACACAGGGAACGAGCCUGUGGGCCAUACACAGUGUGUUAAAUUUUCCUUCCUCCCUCUCCCUUUCUCUCCUUCCUUCUUUCCUGCCCCAAAGCUGGAGAGGACGUUACAGAAGAGCUGUGUUACUUGUCCAUGCAGAGUGUCUUAUGUAAUCAUGCUUUAAAGUUCUCUACCUUUUUCUUUUGGAGACAGGGUCUCACCAUGUAUGGGCCCCGACUGGCCUCAAACUCCAGAGAUUGACCCACCACAAUGCCCAGAUCCAUACUUAUACUUCUGCCAUGCACACACACCUUAAUUUAGCAAAUUUGAGCCAGACUCUAACUACACCAAGAAUUUAUGAUCCAUGAAGGACGCGCUUAGCAGGAAAGCGUGGGGGAAGCAGCAGAAAAAAAGCUGGACAGUAUCACCCUGUCUCCAAUGCCCUCUGCCUUCAGAGGACUGGGAGUACAAAAGGAGAGAAAGGUCAUUUAUUCCUCUGUCUCUUCCUGCUGGCUGCCUUUGUGUUCCUCCAGUGUGGCCGCAGUUCCCAGUGGCUUAACUCAGCUCACACCCCUAAAAAUAGUUCCUUCACCAAAUCCCAUUCCAUUUCCCUUUUGAGUGUGCUGUCAUUUCCUGCCUGAGAUGUCUGUUUAAUGCACUAGAAAAAUAAUUUUCAAGAAAAUGGAUAGAAAUUAAGAUGAUCAUGCAGCAAUAAAUUACCAUGUGUCAUACUUCUCAUUUACACACCAACUAAAUAAAAGCACCAGAAAACAGCAACAAACCGUAUCGCCAAUCCUAAGAAUUAAGCCAAAGUCAAACAGGAAAUAGGAAAAAGAAUUUGCAAAGGCUGUCAAGUUGGUUUUUGCUGGGAAGCAGCAAGGGUGGUCCCUGGGCUAACAGGUUGAC